UCUAGCACGAGUGAAUGGGAUGUGUUGGAGUCUGUUGGAGUGGAAACUCUAAAACACUGAGUUUCCUGUUGUGAUGUGCGAGUGAAUCCUGCACCCAGAUACACAACUCUGAAUACAUAAGAACAAACUUAUUUUGUGAAAUGUAUGACAACAUAUCUCAUGUUUUGUCUUGACGGGGAAAGAAGGAAAACUGAAUAAAACGGGUCUGUGGCCUAACUGAGGGAAUAGCUCAGGCCUGGGGAUUGAACUCGUAUCUAAUAAGAUAUUAGGGUUAUGUUGUGUGUUGUGUGGCUGAUGGAUGGAUGUUUUGGAGUUAAUCUAGUUGAUGAUUUUUCUUUUGUUGCAAAGUUGAGCCUGCCAAUUAGGGUUGGUAUGAUUUACCCUCCUGAGAUGAAGAGCAUGUGUCAUGACUUAACAAGGCCUUUUUAUUUAGAUACUUUCACAGGUAGAGGUUUGAUCCUUAAUAGUCUGCAAAGACUUUGUGUGCAUUCCUUAGUGUUCUGGCAUUCACACCCACAUCCUGGGAGCAUGGGAGAGUCGUACCUUCUCUUAUUGUUUCAUGGUAGGAUAAACAAAACUACACACACACACAGACUGGUACCUUUGUUCAAGUGUAUGCCUGUGUACAUGUCAUAUGUUAACAGAGGUGGGUAGUAACGAGCUACAUUUACUCCGUUACAUUUACUUGAGUAAGUUUUUGAAAAAAAUGUACUUUUUAGUACCUUUUUUGCACGAUACUUUUUACUUUUACUUGAGUACAUUUAUGAAGAAGAAACGGUACUUUUACUCCGCUACAUUUGCAAAAUUCGACUCGUUACUUUAAAAAAAAAAUUAGUUUAACACAUUAGAUAACAUGCCGCCAGUGGAGUUUCCGGUAACUUUUUUACCAAUGAGACGUGGCCAUACAGUCACAUGACCAGUUUGAAACCGUGGCGGGCAGAGCGGCCCAAGUGUUUCAAAGUAGCGACACACGGAAAGAAGAAAUAUGAUGGCAGAGUCUACGCUAGAGCUGAAGAGGAUGAACACCUUUGGCCUCACAUACAAAGAAUGUUUCGCUUAAAAGCGGCACAAAAGAACAGCUAUGUCUGCAGUGUCGGUGUCUUCAGGGAGAGCCAAAACAAACCAACUUUUCAGCGUGAAACAAAUCAGCUCGUAACCUGAUGAAACGGUCUCAACUUCAUCAGACAUCACCUAGACACAGAGCUGGAUGAGGCCAGCACAAACAGCGGCCUAACCGACGAAGAUGAUGGAUCCAUGGGGUCAGGAAAGCCAGACGCAGAGGAGCUGGAGAGAUACUUUUCACUGUCCAAUCACUGGAGGUGUGGAACUAUUGCAUGGCUUUCCUCAGAUCAAGAAGCUGUCAUGCAGGACUCCUGUUCACUGCCAAACGGUCGCAGCUUCACACCAAGAACCUUGAAAGCCAACUGCUGCUGAAGCUGAACCACCAUUUCACUGACUGAAGAAACAAUUUAUGGUAAAGUGAGCCAUACACAUAUGUACAUCCACAUAGUGGAAAUUUGUAUUUGUCUUUUAUAAUUAGUUUUACUCUGAUUUCAGUGUUUAUUUGUGAGUGUAGUUUUUACAUUUUUACAUAUUACAUUGAGUUAAUCCACUGUCUAUACUUCAGGGUAUUUUAGUAUACAAAAUAAGUUUUGUUAGAAUGCCUAUUCCUGUGGAAGAUUAGCACAGAUGUUUUGUUUUGUUUUGUUUUUUUUAAUUCCUGCUGUCCGCCUUGGGAAUAAACUUUUCCUGAUUA